rnacentral:pre_miRNA from 1 species
CUCCCAUUUUGCUGUCGCAGGUGCUGGAUCAGUGGUUUGAGUCCGAGCCUCUAAAAGCCACUCUUGCCACAGAUGCCGUGAUUGGAGCCAUGACAAGUCCCCACACUCCAG